rnacentral:rRNA from 1 species
GGUUAAGCGACUAAGCGUACACGGUGGAUGCCCUGGCAGUCAGAGGCGAUGAAGGGCGUGCUAAUCUGCGAUAAGCGCCGGUAAGGUGAUAUGAACCGUUAUAACCGGCGAUACCCGAAUGGGGAAACCCAGUGUGACUCGUCACACUAUCAUUAACUGAAUCCAUAGGUUAAUGAGGCGAACCGGGGGAACUGAAACAUCUAAGUACCCCGAGGAAAAGAAAUCAACCGAGAUUCCCCCAGUAGCGGCGAGCGAACGGGGAGGAGCCCAGAGCCUGAAUCAGCAUGUGUGUUAGUGGAAGCGUCUGGAAAGACGCGCGAUACAGGGUGACAGCCCCGUACACAAAAGCGUAUGUGCUGUGAGCUCGAUGAGUAGGGCGGGACACGUGGUAUCCUGUCUGAAUAUGGGGGGACCAUCCUCCAAGGCUAAAUACUCCUGACUGACCGAUAGUGAACCAGUACCGUGAGGGAAAGGCGAAAAGAACCCCGGCGAGGGGAGUGAAAAAGAACCUGAAACCGUGUACGUACAAGCAGUGGGAGCACAGGUUUACCUGUGUGACUGCGUACCUUUUGUAUAAUGGGUCAGCGACUUAUAUUCUGUAGCAAGGUUAACCGAAUAGGGGAGCCGGAGGGAAACCGAGUCUUAAUUGGGCGUUAAGUUGCAGGGUAUAGACCCGAAACCCGGUGAUCUAGCCAUGGGCAGGUUGAAGGUUGGGUAACACUAACUGGAGGACCGAACCGACUAAUGUUGAAAAAUUAGCGGAUGACCUGUGGCUGGGGGUGAAAGGCCAAUCAAACCGGGAGAUAGCUGGUUCUCCCCGAAAGCUAUUUAGGUAGCGCCUCGUGAAUUCAUCUCCGGGGGUAGAGCACUGUUUCGGCUAGGGGGUCAUCCCGACUUACCAACCCGAUGCAAACUGCGAAUACCGGAGAAUGUUAUCACGGGAGACACACGGCGGGUGCUAACGUCCGUCGUGAAGAGGGAAACAACCCAGACCGCCAGCUAAGGUCCCAAAGUCAUGGUUAAGUGGGAAACGAUGUGGGAAGGCCCAGACAGCCAGGAUGUUGGCUUAGAAGCAGCCAUCAUUUAAAGAAAGCGUAAUAGCUCACUGGUCGAGUCGGCCUGCGCGGAAGAUGUAACGGGGCUAAACCAUGCACCGAAGCUGCGGCAGCGACACUCAGGUGUUGUUGGGUAGGGGAGCGUUCUGUAAGCCUGCGAAGGUGGCCUGUGAGGGUUGCUGGAGGUAUCAGAAGUGCGAAUGCUGACAUAAGUAACGAUAAAGCGGGUGAAAAGCCCGCUCGCCGGAAGACCAAGGGUUCCUGUCCAACGUUAAUCGGGGCAGGGUGAGUCGACCCCUAAGGCGAGGCCGAAAGGCGUAGUCGAUGGGAAACGGGUUA